rnacentral:rRNA from 1 species
UACGUAGGGGGCAAGCGUUGUCCGGAAUCAUUGGGCGUAAAGCGCGCGUAGGCGGCCCGGUAAGUCCGCUCUGAAAGUCCGGGGCUCAACCCUGGAAAGCGGGUGGAUACUGCCGGGCUAGAAUCCGGAAGAGGCGAGUGGAAUUCCUGGUGUAGCGGUGAAAUGCGCAGAUAUCAGGAGGAACACCAAUGGCGAAGGCAGCUCGCUGGGACGGUACUGACGCUGAGGCGCGAAAGCGUGGGGAGCAAACAGG